UUUCUCAAUGGGGGGAACCCUGAAGGAGCGACGCCGCGUGGAGGAUGAAGGUCUUCGGAUUGUAAACUCCUGUCAUUUGGGAACAAGGUGCGCGCGUUAACUGCGCGCGCAUUGAUAGUACCAGAAGAGGAAGAGACGGCUAACUCUGUGCCAGCAGCCGCGGUAAUACAGAGGUCUCAAGCGUUGUUCGGAUUCAUUGGGCGUAAAGGGUGCGUAGGCGGCGCGGUAAGUCGGGUGUGAAAUUUCGAGGCUUAACUUCGAAACUGCAUUCGAUACUGCCGUGCUUGAGGACUGGAGAGGAGACUGGAAUUUACGGUGUAGCGGUGAAAUGCGUAGAUAUCGUAAGGAAGACCAGUGGCGAAGGCGGGUCUCUGGACAGUUCCUGACGCUGAGGCACGAAGGCCAGGGGAGCAAACGGGAUUAGAUACCCCGGUAGUCCUGGCAAUAAACGGUGCACGUUUUGGUGUGGGAGGAUUCGACCCCUUCUGCGCCGGAGCUAACGCGUUAAACGUGCCGCCUGGGGAGUACGGUCGCAAGAUUAAAACUCAAAGAAAUUGACGGGGGCCCGCACAAGCGGUGGAGUAUGUGGCUUAAUUCGAUGCAACGCGAAGAACCUUACCUGGCCUUGACAUGCAUCUCUAAGCUGGUGAAAGCCAGUGAGUCCCGAAAGGGACAAUUUGCACAGGUGCUGCAUGGCUGUCGUCAGCUCGUGUCGUGAGAUGUUGGGUUAAGUCCCGCAACGAGCGCAACCCCUGUGAACUGUUGCCACCCAGCCGUGAGGCUGGAGCACUCUGUUCAGACUGCCCUGUGAAACGGGGAGGAAGGUGGGGACGACGUCAAGUCAGUAUGGCCCUUACGGCCAGGGCUGCACACGUACUACAAUGCCCAGUACAGAACGAUCCAAGACCGCGAGGUGGAGGAAAUCACAAAAACUGGGCCCAGUUCGGAUUGAAGUCUGCAACUCGACUUCAUGAAGCCGGAAUCGCU
rnacentral:rRNA from 1 species